CGAACAAAUAGCCACCGAGACGAAAUAAGAUGGGAACUUCAACCACACCUCGCUAGUUUGAUCGGUACCCUCUCAACGGGGGGAGAAUGUUACGCCAUGCGGCUUACCAUAGGUCAUAUUCUUAACUAUCGAUCGCGGCACUAUAAUGUCGCAGACGGACCGUCGCGUCUGCCCGGCAAACAAACAUUGUAGUGGCAAGCGCAUGGUUCAUUAAGCAGGGCGACUUCCAGAAACGUCGACUCGUGGUCGUUAUUUUACCUCGCGUAAAAGAAUGUGGCGUGAUCCGAACGUAGUGGGGGUCGCCUUCCAGAAAAAACGAAAAAAAUCGAAAGGCGUUCAGAACUUUUCGAGAAGUCGAACCGUCAACACAUGUGGCGCUUGGCCAUGGAUCGCUGCAUUAGGUUUUCGUAAUCCCCGAAACCCAGACAAACCACUAUGGAAGUGCGGAGGUUCCCUGAUAUCGGCUAGGCAUGUUUUGACCGCAGCACAUUGUGCACAUAUGGAUGGAAUAGAAAACAUACACAAUCAUAAUAUUGCCAUUCUUAGAUUGGUGGAGGAGGUGCCAUUUUCGAGGUACGUAUAUCCCAUUUGUACGAAAGAGCCCCUACGAAAGAGCAACUUCGUCGGCUAUAACCCCCUUGUUGCUGGAUGGGGAGCGUUAAGAUAUAAAAAACAGUGCAGGAUGCUGUGAUUCGUUUCUUGUGGUCGGAGGUUAUGUUUGAUGCCUAUAUUUAUCAAAGAUUUAAUGCACAUUAUGGAGAAAGUGUUUUGUCACGAAGUGUGUUUGAAUGGGCACAAAAGUUCAAAGAAGAUCGCACAAGUGUUAUGAAAAAACAGCUGGACGCCCGUCCACAUCCACGAUGACAACAUUGAACGUGCUCAUGAACUUAUGCUCUAUGGAAUAGACGAGUGACACUGGAUAAUGUGGCAAAUCAUUUGCAAAUCAGCCACGGCUCUGCUUAUGCAAUAGUGCACGACAGAUUUGGAUUUUAAAAAGUUUGUGCGAGAUGGAUGCCGAAAAAGCUGAUGAAAAGGUGAAGACGACGAUGCAUUCGUGGUUCGCAGCUCAGCCCAAAACAUUUUUUAAUGAGAAAAUACGAAGGUCCUUCGGCAAAUGGACAAAGUGUAUACAGAAAUCGAGUGAUUAUGUCAAAAAAUGAUGUAUGUCUUUUUUGACAAUUGCUUAAAAUAAAUUCUACACCGACAGAGCGGGCUGUUAAUCUAGAGGCUGGAGUACAAAGAAGUGGCACAAUGAUGUGGGCUGAUGACAUUUAUAAUUAUCAAGGAAUCACCCCUACAUUCGCUCAGAAUUUUAAUGAAACUGUCCCUUGGGAAGAAAGAACUGAUACCUUGAUAUCACGGUUUGUACAUCCUAUAUAUACGACAAAUUUUAGAACAUUAUAUAACGAAGAACCAGAUCAUUUUAUCAUUAGUUGUAUGAUAAUACAACUUUUUCAUGAAUUCUUUUAUUAUAAAAAUAUUACUUCUAAAAUCCCCGCUUUAAGGGACCAAAUCACAUGGCUAAAAUUUUUAAUCUUUUUGAUAGAUAGUCGCUGUUGAUACUUAACCGAGUAUGGUCAUAUAGUCGGUUAAAUAAAAUUUCCAUCCUUUCAAAUAUAUAUUAUAUUCGUCAGUGGUAAAUGUUAUCUGUGUUGGCAUAGUGAAUAAAUAUAUUGACGUUCCGUGUUUUAAUCAGCAGAAUCGUAAUCAAUACGUGUUUUCUAUGUGUAUAGAGUGUUAAAAACUUACUUGUUAUAGCCGUGGGAGAUGGUGAUCUGUUAGAAAAAAUGGAUUACAAAAUUGAUCUGGAGUAUAAUUUUCAAGGACAACAGUUUUUAUUGCGUCAUAAAGUUCUCAUGACGAGGAAACAGAAGUGUUAUAGUCCUUACACGGAUAUAACAUGUUCUUUUGGAAAAAGCUGUUUAAAAUUUCAUUAACCUUUACUCUGUAUUUAUUACGUUGUUGAAAGUAUGUUUCAAAUAACAGUUAAUAUAAGCAUCAAAAUAAAUAAACAACAAUUAAUUAGAUAAUAUCGUAAUAAUAUAAUAUAAUGGGUGUAAUAAUAAGUAAUAAAGCUUAGAAAAUGUGCUCUUGAUGAAGCCGGUGAAAAUUAUCCUUUGUUCCGUGGUAUAUAUAGGGUAAAACGAAUGGUAGACCGCAGCAUAGUGGUUUCCAACGAUCCACACUUGUUCUAAUUCCUCACUCAACGUCUUUCGUGUCCAUUGACGUAGAAAAAAGUAAGUUAUUGUAAUAUCGGAAUAUAUUAAAGGUGUAAUUUUGUCCGAUUAAUUAUAAUUUAUUAAUAAUGGAUUGAAAAUACAGAUAUUAGUUAGACAGAGAAACGAUGUUUGAUUAACAGGAAAACUAAAUGCAACGCUCGUAUUUACAUCAAAUAACUUGACAACUAUUUGGUAACUCUCUCUCUCUCUCUCUCUCUCACUAGCAACUCUAACACUCGACAACACUCGCAACUCAAUUCUAACGACUCUAUGCUUCGACGUCUCGAUCAACUCUGAACCUCGCCAAUGCAUUCCUGCUCGGUCCUGCACACACACACACACACACACUUUUCGGCUCACAUACUCUGGCCUCUCGAUUGCCACUCCUUGAAAUAUGAAACCGUACUUCUGUUUUGACGCUGCUUAUCUUUUCUCGUGUCACUGUUACUAGGCGCUCUUGGAUGUAAACAAAGCACAAAAAGACGGCGUACACGGUGUUUUCUAAUUUCAGCCGAUCUCCAAUCAAAGCUAUUCUACGAUAUUACAUUAUCGUAUAAUAAUAAGCUUUUAAUCGUUUAAUAAUAACUCGUCAAGUAGAAAUUCCACACGAAGCAUUGUGAAGAAUAAUACUUGAAGAAGAUCUAUGUUCUUACGAGAUUGGCUGUGUGCAAGAACUUUGUUGGAUAGAUUGUAUCGUUUGACGAAAAUUUUAUUGUUGAAAGUUAAGAAAGUUGGAAAGAAAACCCACGCUGUCUCGAAGAUAUCUUGUUUUUCAGAUGCUAUAAAUUGACAAAUAACUAGAUAUUAGUAUUGACAUUAUUUGAUGUCAUAUCUGACCUUAAAGUAUAAAUAAAAUCAAUCUAGGAAUUAAUGAAAUUUCAAACAUUUUUUCUAAGAAAACAGAGGUUUCGUUCCUCCUAAUGAGUAUCACAUGAUGCAAUAGAAAAAUAAUUUGACAUUGAAAAUCGUGUCAAGAUCAAUUUCGAAGCUAUAAAAUCGUCUUAAAAAAACGCCGUGAUAAAAAAUUUUUUGACACCUUGUACAAAGGUGUAUAUCAACGUAAGUGUACCUGUAUGUCUAUAUUCGAGGUUAUUUAUCUAUUCAAGAUAGCAAAGUAAAAAUACUAUAUAGAGGAUUUAAUUAAUGUGUAUAUCAACGUAUGUAUCACUAUAUAUAAUACAAUGAUAUUCUCGAUAUACGUACACGCGUCAUAGAAGGUCGUUCGGGGAAAAAUGUUCAUGACACCGAUACAAAAGUACCAUAUGGAGGAUUUAAUUAAUGUGUGGAUCAACGUAUAUAUCAUUAUAUGUAAUUAUAUCAUUAUUAUCAAUAUUAUAUAUAAUUAUUAUAUUGUUAUUAUCAUUAUAUGUAAUUAUAUCAUUAUAUGUGCAUUUGGCAAAUAUUAUUUGACAUCUGGAAGCGACAUGUUAUUUAUCUAUUCAAGAUAGCAAAGUAGAAAUAGCAUAUAGAGGAUUUAAUUAAUGUGUGGAUCAACGUAUGUAUCACUAUAUGUAACAAUAAUAUUGACUGUAUAUGUACGUGUGUAAUAAAAGAUUUCCGGUUUACAAUGUUUACGAUACUGAUAUAAAAAUACCAUAUAGAGGAUUUAAUUAACGUGUAUAUCUACGUAUAUAUCAUUAUAUGUAACAGUAACAUUAUGUGCAUAUGCGUAUAAUAUUGGUUAAAUGCGUUAAAGUGAAAUGUUAUUUACCUAUUCAAGAUAGCAAAGUAAACAUACCAUAUAGAGGAUUUACUACUGUUAACACUCGGUAUUCUCGUAUUCAAAGUAUUUAACCAAAUAAUUUGGGAAUCCAGCGGACGAGCUUGUAUUUAAUAUGAUUAUAUUUAAUAUAACAACUUUACUCAAUAUACGCGUAGGAUUUUAAAUGUCA